GUUAUAUGGUCAAGUGAAGAAGCGCAUACGGUGGAUGCCUUGGCAGUCAGAGGCGAUGAAAGACGUGGUAGCCUGCGAAAAGCUUCGGGGAGUCGGCAAACAGACUGUGAUCCGGAGAUGUCUGAAUGGGGGAACCCAGCCAUCAUAAGAUGGUUAUCUUACGCUGAAUACAUAGGCGUAAGAGGCGAACCAGGGGAACUGAAACAUCUAAGUACCCUGAGGAAAAGAAAUCAACCGAGAUUCCCUUAGUAGUGGCGAGCGAACGGGGACCAGCCCUUAAGUUGAUUUGAGAUUAGCGGAACGCUCUGGAAAGAGCGGCCAUAGUGGGUGAUAGCCCUGUACGCGAAAAUCUCUUGUCAAUGAAAUCGAGUAGGACGGGGCACGAGAAACCUUGUCUGAACAUGGGGGGACCAUCCUCCAAGGCUAAAUACUACUGACUGACCGAUAGUGAACCAGUACCGUGAGGGAAAGGCGAAAAGAACCGCGGAGAGCGGAGUGAAAUAGAUCCUGAAACCGUAUGCGUACAAGCAGUGGGAGCCCACUUUGUUGGGUGACUGCGUACCUUUUGUAUAAUGGGUCAGCGACUUAUUUUCAGUGGCGAGCUUAACCGAAUAGGGGAGGCGUAGCGAAAGCGAGUCUUAAUAGGGCGUCUAGUCGCUGGGAAUAGACCCGAAACCGGGCGAUCUAUCCAUGGGCAGGUUGAAGGUUAGGUAACACUGACUGGAGGACCGAACCGACUACCGUUGAAAAGUUAGCGGAUGACCUGUGGAUCGGAGUGAAAGGCUAAUCAAGCUCGGAGAUAGCUGGUUCUCCUCGAAAGCUAUUUAGGUAGCGCCUCAUGUAUCACUGUAGGGGGUAGAGCACUGUUUCGGCUAGGGGGUCAUCCCGACUUACCAAACCGAUGCAAACUCCGAAUACCUACAAGUGCCGAGCAUGGGAGACACACGGCGGGUGCUAACGUCCGUCGUGAAAAGGGAAACAACCCAGACCGUCAGCUAAGGUCCCAAAGUCAUGGUUAAGUGGGAAACGAUGUGGGAAGGCUUAGACAGCUAGGAGGUUGGCUUAGAAGCAGCCACCCUUUAAAGAAAGCGUAAUAGCUCACUAGUCGAGUCGGCCUGCGCGGAAGAUGUAACGGGGCUCAAACCAUGCACCGAAGCUACGGGUAUCAUCUUUGGAUGAUGCGGUAGAGGAGCGUUCUGUAAGCCUGUGAAGGUGAGUUGAGAAGCUUGCUGGAGGUAUCAGAAGUGCGAAUGCUGACAUGAGUAACGACAAUGGGUGUGAAAAACACCCACGCCGAAAGACCAAGGUUUCCUGCGCAACGUUAAUCGACGCAGGGUUAGUCGGUCCCUAAGGCGAGGCUGAAAAGCGUAGUCGAUGGAAAACAGGUUAAUAUUCCUGUACUUCUGGUUAUUGCGAUGGAGGGACGGAGAAGGCUAGGCCAGCCUGGCGUUGGUUGUCCAGGUUUAAGGUGGUAGGCUGGGAUCUUAGGUAAAUCCGGGAUCUCAAGGCCGAGAGCUGAUGACGAGUGUUCUUUAGAACACGAAGUGGUUGAUGCCAUGCUUCCAAGAAAAGCUUCUAAGCUUCAGGUAACCAGGAACCGUACCCCAAACCGACACAGGUGGUUGGGUAGAGAAUACCAAGGCGCUUGAGAGAACUCGGGUGAAGGAACUAGGCAAAAUGGCACCGUAACUUCGGGAGAAGGUGCGCCGGUGAGGGUGAAGGACUUGCUCCGUAAGCUCAUGCCGGUCGAAGAUACCAGGCCGCUGCGACUGUUUAUUAAAAACACAGCACUCUGCAAACACGAAAGUGGACGUAUAGGGUGUGACGCCUGCCCGGUGCCGGAAGGUUAAUUGAUGGGGUUAGCUAACGCGAAGCUCUUGAUCGAAGCCCCGGUAAACGGCGGCCGUAACUAUAACGGUCCUAAGGUAGCGAAAUUCCUUGUCGGGUAAGUUCCGACCUGCACGAAUGGCGUAACGAUGGCGGCGCUGUCUCCACCCGAGACUCAGUGAAAUUGAAAUCGCUGUGAAGAUGCAGUGUAUCCGCGGCUAGACGGAAAGACCCCGUGAACCUUUACUAUAGCUUUGCACUGGACUUUGAAUUUGCUUGUGUAGGAUAGGUGGGAGGCUUUGAAGCGUGGACGCCAGUUCGCGUGGAGCCAUCCUUGAAAUACCACCCUGGCAACUUUGAGGUUCUAACUCAGGUCCGUCAUCCGGAUCGAGGACAGUGUAUGGUGGGUAGUUUGACUGGGGCGGUCUCCUCCUAAAGAGUAACGGAGGAGUACGAAGGUGCGCUCAGACCGGUCGGAAAUCGGUCGUAGAGUAUAAAGGCAAAAGCGCGCUUGACUGCGAGACAGACACGUCGAGCAGGUACGAAAGUAGGUCUUAGUGAUCCGGUGGUUCUGUAUGGAAGGGCCAUCGCUCAACGGAUAAAAGGUACUCCGGGGAUAACAGGCUGAUACCGCCCAAGAGUUCAUAUCGACGGCGGUGUUUGGCACCUCGAUGUCGGCUCAUCACAUCCUGGGGCUGAAGCCGGUCCCAAGGGUAUGGCUGUUCGCCAUUUAAAGUGGUACGCGAGCUGGGUUUAGAACGUCGUGAGACAGUUCGGUCCCUAUCUGCCGUGGACGUUUGAGAUUUGAGAGGGGCUGCUCCUAGUACGAGAGGACCGGAGUGGACGAACCUCUGGUGUUCCGGUUGUCACGCCAGUGGCAUUGCCGGGUAGCUAUGUUCGGAAAAGAUAACCGCUGAAAGCAUCUAAGCGGGAAACUUGCCUCAAGAUGAGAUCUCACUGGAACCUUGAGUUCCCUGAAGGGCCGUCGAAGACUACGACGUUGAUAGGUUGGGUGUGUAAGCGCUGUGAGGCGUUGAGCUAACCAAUACUAAUUGCCCGUGAGGCUUGACCAUAUAACACCCAAGCA
rnacentral:rRNA from 1 species